GCGGAAACCCCAAUUAGGACUAAAGUAUCAAGGAGCGCAAAGAGAAGCAGAAAGAUCGCCGCCGCUUUUCACCCGAAUCGUAGGCCUUUGGCGUCUCUGCUCGUAUCUUUGCGUUCCACUGAUUCUUUCGCCCUAAUUGGGUCCGACCCGC